UCGCUCGCUUCAGCAGUACAUAUGCUACAACUGGAACAAUGCAGAGAAGAUGAGCAUGGCCCCUGCACCAGGAUGACACACAAAUUCAUGAAGCAUUCCAUAUUUUA
rnacentral:snRNA from 1 species